AAUCCUUCUGCCUCUGCCUCCCAGGGUGCUAGGAUUACAGGUGUGAGCCACCCCACCGGUCUAGGAUUUCUCAAUAUAAAGGGUGAUCAGCAUGGUCAAUGCCAAAGUAAACGUGAGAAUCCUUGGAAACAUCAUCCUCAUCGCAGGAAGUUCCUGACUCUCAGGUGCCUGUGAUGUGGCAGGCACACUGUGGCCUGUGUGGGGGUGAUCAGCAUGGUCAAUGCCAAAGUA